ACUGUCGUACGGGUGCGUAACGCGUAUGCAACCUACCUAUCACUGGGGGAUAGCCCGGGGAAACCCGGAUUAAUACCGCAUAAAACAGGGGCACCGCAUGGUGAUAUUUGUUAAAGAUUUAUUGGUGAUAGAUGGGCAUGCGUUCGAUUAGCUAGUUGGCGGGGUAACGGCCCACCAAGGCGACGAUCGAUAGGGGAGCUGAGAGGUUGAUCCCCCACACGGGCACUGAGAUACGGGCCCGACUCCUACGGGAGGCAGCAGUAGGGAAUAUUGGGCAAUGGAUGCAAGUCUGACCCAGCCAUGCCGCGUGCCGGAUGAAGGCCCUCAGGGUUGUAAACGGCUUUUAUUCGGGAAGAAGAGCAGGGAUGCGUCCUUGUGUGACGGUACCGAAUGAAUAAGCACCGGCUAACUCCGUGCCAGCAGCCGCGGUAAUACGGAGGGUGCGAGCGUUGUCCGGAUUUAUUGGGUUUAAAGGGUGCGUAGGUGGCUGUUUAAGUCAGUGGUGAAAUACGGUUGCUCAACAAUCGAGGUGCCAUUGAUACUGAAUAGCUUGAAAUAAUUGGAGGCUGCCGGAAUGGAUGGUGUAGCGGUGAAAUGCAUAGAUAUCAUCCAGAACACCGAUUGCGAAGGCAGGUGGCUACGAUUGGUUUGACACUGAGGCACGAAAGCAUGGGGAGCAAACAGGAUUAGAUACCCUGGUAGUCCAUGCUGUAAACGAUG
rnacentral:rRNA from 1 species